CUGAUAGCUUCGGCAGCACAUCUGCUGAAACUGGAACAAUGCAGAGAAGGUUAGCAUGGCCCCUGAACGAAGAUAACAUGCAAAUCCAUAUUUCCUAUUUAU